AGCGCAGACGGUUAUUUAAGCAAGAUGUGAAAGCCCCGGGCUCAACCUGGGAACUGCGUUUUGAACUGGGUAACUAGAGUGUGUCAGAGGGGGUAGAAUUCCACGUGUAGCAGUGAAAUGCGUAGAGAUGUGGAGGAAUACCGAUGGCGAAGGCAGCCCCCUGGGAUAACACUGACGUUCAUGCUCGAAAGCGUGGUAAGCAAACA
rnacentral:rRNA from 1 species